rnacentral:rRNA from 1 species
GACGAACGCUGGCGGCGUGCUUAACACAUGCAAGUCGAACGGAAAGGCCCUGCUUUUGUGGGGUGCUCGAGUGGCGAACGGGUAAGUAACACGUGAGUAACUUGCCCUUGACUUUGGGAUAACUUCAGGAAACUGGGGCUAAUACCGGAUAGGAGCUCCUGCUGCAUGGUGGGGGUUGGAAAGUUUCGGCGGUUGGGGAUGGACUCGCGGCUUAUCAGCUUGUUGGUGGGGUAGUGGCUUACCAAGGCUUUGACGGGUAGCCGGCCUGAGAGGGUGACCGGCCACAUUGGGACUGAGAUACGGCCCAGACUCCUACGGGAGGCAGCAGUGGGGAAUAUUGCACAAUGGGCGGAAGCCUGAUGCAGCAACGCCGCGUGCGGGAUGACGGCCUUCGGGUUGUAAACCGCUUUCGCCUGUGACGAAGCGUGAGUGACGGUAAUGGGUAAAGAAGCACCGGCUAACUACGUG